rnacentral:rRNA from 1 species
AGGAAGAUAAUGACGGUACUUGAGGAGGAAGCCCCGGCUAACUACGUGCCAGCAGGCCGCGGUAAUACGUAGGGGGCUAGCGUUAUCCGGAUUUACUGGGCGUAAAGGGUGCGUAGGCGGUCUUUCAAGUCAGGAGUGAAAGGCUACGGCUCAACCGUAGUAAGCUCUUGAAACUGGGAGACUUGAGUGCAGGAGAGGAGAGUGGAAUUCCUAGUGUAGCGGUGAAAUGCGUAGAUAUUAGGAGGAACACCAGUUGCGAAGGCGGCUCUCUGGACUGUAACUGACGCUGAGGCACGAAAGCGUGGGG